CCGGCGCACGGGUGAGUAACACGUAUGCAACCUGCCUGCCACAGCCGGAUAAUCGGGAGAAAUUCCGUCUAAUACGGCAUAAUGCAUCGACGGGACAUCCUGUUGGUGCCAAGGGUUAAUUCCGGUGGCGGAUGGGCAUGCGUCGCAUUAGUUAGUUGGCGGUGUAACGGACCACCAAGACGACGAUGCGUAGGGGUUCUGAGAGGAAGGUCCCCCACACUGGUACUGAGACACGGCCCAAACUCCUACGGAAGGCAGCAG
rnacentral:rRNA from 1 species